rnacentral:rRNA from 1 species
UCGUCGCUCGCGUUAACGAACGAGACCUUAACCUGCUAAAUAGUUAAACCUGAUUUUUUAUCAGGUUGACAACUUCUUAGAGGGACUAUCGGUGUUCAACCGAUGGAAGUUUGAGGCAAUAACAGGUCUGUGAUGCCCUUAGAUGUUCUGAGCUGCACGCGCGCUACACUGAAGGUUACACUAAGCAAGAUACACCUUGGCUGAUGAGCCUGGGUAAUCUACAGUGGCCUUCGUGCUGGGGAUAGAUCAUUGUAAUUAUUGGUCUUGAACGAGGAAUUCCUAGUAAGCACAGUUCAUCAUACUGUGCUGAUUACGUCCCUGCCCUUUGUACACACCGCCCGUCGCU